AGAGCUUGCUCUUAUGAAGUUAGCGGCGGACGGGUGAGUAACACGUGGGUAACCUGCCCAUAAGACUGGGAUAACUCCGGGAAACCGGGGCUAAUACCGGAUAACAUUUUGAACUGCAUGGUUCGAAAUUGAAAGGCGGCUUCGGCUGUCACUUAUGGAUGGACCCGCGUCGCAUUAGCUAGUUGGUGAGGUAACGGCUCACCAAGGCAACGAUGCGUAGCCGACCUGAGAGGGUGAUCGGCCACACUGGGACUGAGACACGGCCCAGACUCCUACGGGAGGCAGCAGUAGGGAAUCUUCCGCAAUGGACGAAAGUCUGACGGAGCAACGCCGCGUGAGUGAUGAAGGCUUUCGGGUCGUAAAACUCUGUUGUUAGGGAAGAACAAGUGCUAGUUGAAUAAGCUGGCACCUUGACGGUACCUAACCAGAAAGCCACGGCUAACUACGUGCCAGCAGCCGCGGUAAUACGUAGGUGGCAAGCGUUAUCCGGAAUUAUUGGGCGUAAAGCGCGCGCAGGUGGUUUCUUAAGUCUGAUGUGAAAGCCCACGGCUCAACCGUGGAGGGUCAUUGGAAACUGGGAGACUUGAGUGCAGAAGAGGAAAGUGGAAUUCCAUGUGUAGCGGUGAAA
rnacentral:rRNA from 2 species